rnacentral:rRNA from 1 species
AGCGAACGCUGGCGGCGUGCUUAACACAUGCAAGUCGAGCGAAGGUGUUUCAAGGGUAACCUUGAGAUACACUUAGCGGCGGACGGGUGAGUAAUACGUGGAUAACUUACCUCUAGGCCUGGGAUAACCCCGGGAAACUGGGGCUAAUACCUGAUAAGACCACAUUGUCUACGGACAAAGGGGUAAAAGGUGGCUGUGCAAACAGCUAUCGCCAAAAGAUAGGUUCACGUCCCAUCAGGCAGUGGUGAGGUAAUGGCUCACCAAACCAAAGACGGGUAGCCGGCCUUGGCGGGUGAACAGCCACACGGGGACUGAGACACGGCCCCGACUCCUACGGGAGGCAGCAGUGGGGAAUAUUGGGCAAUGGGCGCAAGCCUGACCCAGCGACGCCGCGUU